rnacentral:ncRNA from 1 species
CAUUGACGCUGGGGGGGCCGGUAUCCGGCUGAGAAGGCAUACGCCUGACCCUUGGAACCUGUGUAGGUAAUCCUACCGUAGGGAAGCGGCCGUCAUCAAAC